UACAGAGGGGGCAAGCGUUGUUCGGAAUUACUGGGCGUAAAGGGCGCGUAGGCGGCCUGCUAAGUCGAACGUGAAAUCCCCGGGCUCAACCCGGGAACUGCGUCCGAUACUGGCAGGCUUGAAUCCGGGAGAGGGAUGUGGAAUUCCCAGUGUAGCGGUGAAAUGCGUAGAUAUCAGGAGGAACACCGAUGGCGAAGGCAGGUCUCUGGGCCACUACUGACGCUGAGAAGCGAAAGCAUGGGGAGCGAACAGG
rnacentral:rRNA from 1 species